CUGCAGGCUGUUCAGCAAGGCUGGGUCUAACAUGUGACACUGUCCUUUCCUGUAUGUCUGCUAGAGAAACUCUGGGUGGUUUGAGGCCUGACAGCAUUCCCUUCGCUGUCAGGUUAUAGAAACCUUGUACAAAA
ensembl:snoRNA Small nucleolar RNA SNORA9